GUGAGGUUUAACAUCCUCAGGCUGCAGGGAUUUGUGAAGAGGAUGAAAAUCUGUAGGGCGGCAGCCAGAGCUGGAGGGGCUGCUCCCUCCUUGUCCCAGCCAGGCCCUCCUCCACCCCAGGGGAGGACCCAGGGAGGACCCAGGGAGCACGGUCAGGCUCUCUCCACCAUCCUCCCCACGCGGUGGGGGGUGGCAGGAACCGGGGGAGCUGCUGGCGGGCAGUGGACGGUGCCAGAUGCACACGCACGGUCUGUCCCUCCUGGUGUCUGGCCGGCAGGAGCGCAGGCAAGGCUCCUCCAGCGCUACAGUGUCCCGGGCCCUGCUGGCCUCAGAUUGGAGCCCCAGGACUUUGCAGCAGACGGAGAGCCUGCCCGGAGGCCUGCAGCAUUCCACGGGUGUCCAGAAGCCUCAGCUGCUUAUCAGUGUUCCCAUGGCAACGGUGGGGACCAGGAAUAACACGGCAGGGGUGAAAGGUCAAGUCAAACACGGAUGGAUCCAAGCAGCUAACCCUGUCCUGGGCCUGGACUCUGUACCGGAGGCGCACGGGACAGUUGCUUUGAAACCAAUUCUUCAUUGCACCCCCAAGUGACCUGGUAUUCGUGUCACUCCUCUUUUUCAGUCUGUUGCGUGGGAACGCUGGUUGUCCUCCCUUAAAGGAUCCUGUCUCUUAACUCUGGUGGACACACACGCUGCCGCUGAUGGAGAAGAGGAGCUUGCUGCUUUCCACACCCAUUCCAGACUUGCAAGAAAGAAAACCUAGCCAGAAGCUGGAAGGAAUCCAGAAGAUGUGGACAAACCCGCAGCUCUCCCUUGAGAGAGAGAGCUCAUUGGUGGUGCAGAGAGCGCUGGGCUUUAUUCUUGGGUCGCCACAGCCAGGGGCCAGGUAGGAAAUUGUUUUACUAAUUCAAGCAAAAAAAACCCAUAAAUGUUUACUUUUAUGAGUGUCUACCACAUAUGCUAGGAUUUCUGUGUAAAAUUUUGGAGAGUUUUAAUUUUGUUUGUUUACCUUCUGCAGGUGACAAAACUGAUGUUCCAGAGAAGCUGAGCAACCUUGCCGGAGUCACACAGGUGAUGAGCAGGGUGCAGAUUGCAGGCUGUCUGCCUCGGUGCCAAAUGGAAAGUUCUGCUCCAGCUCCCCUAAUGGGAACGUCCAGAGCUAAUUCAGGGCAAGGAGGAUAACCAGAGAGGACAGAAAUGAGAGUGAUCUCAAAGGCAGAUUUUUGAGGACCCCAGUGGGAGGUGAAAAAGAGGAAGGCAUCUGGAAUUGUCCAAAGUUUCUGACCUGAACAACAAGAGGUGGUGGCAUUUGCUGUAGUGGGAGAAGGAAGCGGGGGCCGGUGAAAGGAAAGGAGCACAGGCUGCACAAUGUUACAGGGCAGAAAAGGAUGGAUGCCACGGGGAGCACGCAGCACCAUGCAGGUGCACCAAAGUGAGGCAGGGCACCUGGGGAAGGGUCCAAGUAGGCCAGGUCAUUUUAGAUUAGGAUAAAAGCAUUUUGGCCAGGUGACACUGCAAGGGAGAACAUUCUAGAGAGAAGAAACAGUGAAGCAUGAGGUUAUAUUGAGGGAAAGGCAGGGAUAGGUUUUGAGGAAGGUGCACCCACUCUCUGUGGCUUUCAAUGACAGCAGAGUGAGGCACUUUGGGCCAACGAGGAGAAAUCCUUGACUGGCCUUGAGGAAGGGAAAUCUGUCAGGGUUGAUCUAGGUUGAUUUGGAAUGGGUGGGGAAUGGAAGUGGGGAGUCGCUAGGAGGCUUUGCAAUAGUGCCAGGAAGAGGUAGCAGAGUGGGAUUGGGUGGGGGCAUCGAGGUGGGACAGAGGAGGGCGGUAUGAAGAGAUCAGUGCACAUGGGGUGAUAUUCUUUCAUGACUAGAUGUGAGGCUGAAGAAUGAGGAAGUCAUCCGAGAUCAUUUUGAAAGUUUUGAGCUUUGGUUGAAAGAAUUCAAUUCUGUUUUGGCGACCCUGACUUAUGACAGGGAUCACCUCUCUGGACAGCGUGGCCAGAGGAAGGUUGGAAGUUUGUCUGGAGAAAGGUCAAGACCAGAGGUAAAGGUUUGGGGUCAUCCUCAUGGAGGUCACAACUGAAGUCAUGACAGGGGUUCACAUUGUCGAGGGCUGAGUGGACAGACACAGAGCAAGGGGCCGGAAACAGCCUGGUGGCUCAGCCCGUGGAUGGAGAAGGAGGUGGAGAGGAGAAUCAGGGCAGUGGGGAGGUUCAGAAGUCUGAAAGAGGAACUGCAAAGAGGAGGUGACAGAAAGAAAAUGUCACUUCAAAACCCAGACCUUUGACAAUUUACUAUGCUGCCAUUGCUCUAGCGCGUCCACCUAAGGGUACGUACGCAUAUUUUCUCCUUUAUACUGUUAUGACACACUGGGACUUCUUUUAAAAGACUUUUUCCUUUUCUCUCCUUUUCUCUGCCAUUGUGAUGUGUCCAGUCGACUGUUCCUUGCCAUGUCUUCUCACAAGACUUCCAGGAAACCAAAGUAGGAUCGUUGCAUCCUCCAGUGGAUUUGGAUGAAAACCGGAAAUAAAAUCAGGUACAACUCCAAGAGGAGGCACUGGAGAAGACUGGGGUCCGAGGGGAUGGCACAUGAGAUGGCACACAUAUUUGUACUGCGUGAAGGUCACGUGCUCCUAUCCUAUACCUGAACAAUAGCCAUGUUUUAUUGGGGAAAUGAUUUUUCUACUACUAUGCUUCUGCACCAGUAGUUUUGUCCAAUAAUAAGUAUAUGAAAUCUUUUGAAGAAAGAAAGAAAGAAAGGAAGAAAGAAAGAAAGAAAGAAAGAAGAAAGAAAGAAAGAAAGAAAGAAAGAAAGAAAGAGAAGAAAGAAAGACUUUUCCAAGUACGAACAGAGAACAAAAGAGAACACAACAAACAGCACAUUUGCAAGGUACUCGGUAUAACCAGAUUAUUCCGAGGGCCUUGUGGGUGUCCUCCCAAAGGGGAGGAGGGCUCUCCAUACCAUGGCCUUGAAGGUGGUAUAGCUUCUUCGGGUCCCUGUUUGGGCUCCCCUCUUCCAAAUAUUUGACUGGUUAUUCCUACUUGACUGGCUUCCUUCUGGCUGCCUUACACAGGAGUCCCUUCCUUGACUCUUGGCAUCUGAAGUCUGGACAGGAAGGCUGCCCACCCCGGGACCUCAGUUCUCUUCCCUUCGUGAGUGACCUCUUGUCCUGGUCGGUGACACUAGGAAUCACAUCACUCUUCCAAUGAGACCUUGACUCUCCCCAGGGCCAGGAGUACAGUGAUGGGUUAAAGAGAUGAGAUAAUAGAGCGUGGGCUUGAAAUAUCUGACAACAGAAGGCAGGGUUCCCUCAGAGUCAGAUGUAGCAACCACUGUCAUGGUUGAGGAGGCCGGAGCAGAGAAAGAGCCUCUGGAAAAUGAUAGAAGGGGACUGGUAGGAAGGCAGGCUUGACCAGAGCAACUGCAAGGGAUUUCAGAGGGAGCGUGGAGGCCGUGGAAGCCGGAGACAUCUGGCCUCUUCUCUCCUACCUUGGAAGCAUUGUGAUUCCUUCCUUCUUCCUCACCCCCCGCAACACGGCCACUCCCAGUCCCUCCUGGUCACUGGUCCUGGUGGUUCAGCCAGGCAGAAGCAGAGACCUUCCGGUCCUCGGGGACUCCCUGCCCUCUGCGAGGUGGGGAAUCCCUCUGUCUUUCUGAGCACCAACCAUCUCUCGAGGCCCAGUUGGAAUGCACACCCCGGUCAGAGUUUCCAUCCUUUUCCAUCUGUCCUUUCCUGGCCUGCUCCUCUGGCUUGCGGCGGGCUCUGCUUCCUCUACUUCUGCUAUCCUGUGGAAGUCCUAAACCAGGACUUUGAGUUCAGCUGUGCAAGGACAGGAGAAUCACAAUGGGAAAAAAGGUGCAAGCAUACAAGUUUCCUUUGCUUCUGUUUUUGGAAUCCAUGUUAUCACAAGAGACAGUAGAGCAAAUCUGAUAAUGUUUACUAAACGAUGGAUUUUCAGGCUACGGAUCUUAAUUUCUUCUUACUAACAGCCAGGCUGUUUACCCCCAAAUCUACCAGUCAUGCCACUCUUUCUUCCAGGGCUACCAAGCCUCUUUCUGUUGAAGAUGUCACAAAGAAGUGACUGUGUCCAGGUCUCGCUGUCACAUUCCACGUAAGUAUGACAAGACCAGUGCUCAUUCUCAGCCUCAACGUCCUCUAGGAAGUUCCAGGAUGUGUCUAGUAGCAGGCGGUUCUCUCUUUCCCCUGAGAACUAUUUUCAAUAUAACUAUUUGUCUCUUACUCUCUGUGCUUAUUGCAGUAAAUCUUCUUGUGGCUCUCGUGGGUCUUGGGUGACAGGGCUAUGCUUUAGGUAUCCACUCACGGGAAUAGGAUGCAAAAGAUUUGGAUUCUAAAUUCUGACACUAAUGAAUAGAUGAGCCUCCGUAAGUCAUGUCCUCUCUCUGGGGCUCAGUUCUCUCAUCCAUAAAUAAAAGGCGUGGGUAAAAUCAAUGAUGUGCUAGUAAAUCUUUAAUAACUAGCUCUUGGUGGAAGAGGCCGGGAGAAAGAAGCCCUGAUUUGUAGUGUUUGUUAAUUUCUGUGGUGUAAAUAUCCCACCAAAGUCAACUGGCUUAUAAAUUUCCUGAAAAUUUAGUCUUGGGCCCUGGUGAGACAGCACCCAUCAGUUUUAAUACAACUUUGGAUAAGAUCAAUAAUAUACAUAUUUUAAUCCGGAUACUCUUUGAUAUUAUAGAUCUAAAAGUCCCUUCCAGCCCGACAAUUCCACAAUUCUAUGAUUCUGACACUGGAUGGCUUUUUUUUUU